GAUGGACGCUGGCGGCGUGCCUAAUACAUGCAAGUCGAGCGAACGGACGAGAAGCUUGCUUCUCUGAUGUUAGCGGCGGACGGGUGAGUAACACGUGGAUAACCUACCUAUAAGACUGGGAUAACUUCGGGAAACCGGAGCUAAUACCGGAUAAUAUUUUGAACCGCAUGGUUCAAAAGUGAAAGACGGUCUUGCUGUCACUUAUAGAUGGAUCCGCGCUGCAUUAGCUAGUUGGUAAGGUAACGGCUUACCAAGGCAACGAUGCAUAGCCGACCUGAGAGGGUGAUCGCCCACACUGGAACUGAGACACGGUCCAGACUCCUACGGGAGGCAGCAGUAGGGAAUCGUCCGCAAUGGGCGAAAGCCUGACGGAGCAACGCCGCGUGAGUGAUGAAGGUCUUCGGAUCGUAAAACUCUGUUAUUAGUGAAGAACAUAUGUGUAAGUAACUGUGCACAUCUUGACGGUACCUAGUCAAAAAGCCACGGCUAACUACGUG
rnacentral:rRNA from 1 species